UACGUAGGGGGCAAGCGUUGUUCGGAUUUACUGGGCGUAAAGGGCGCGUAGGCGGCACUUCACGUCAGCUGUGAAAUCUCCGGGCUUAACUCGGAACGGUCAGCUGAUACUGCUUUGCUAGAGUGCAGAAAGGGCAAUCGGAAUUCUUGGUGUAGCGGUGAAAUGCGUAGAUAUCAAGAGGAACACCUGAGGCGAAGGCGGGUUGCUAGGCUGACACUGACGCUGAGUGCGCGAAAGCCAGGGGAGCAAACGGG
rnacentral:rRNA from 1 species